UCUUGGGAAGCAAUUAAUGUGAGGGAGAGCUUACGGGGAUUGAUAUAUUUUGGUUGAUGAGAAGUCUACUCUGAUCCAGGGAUCUAUGAGCUGAGUUGAUUUGAUUUGACAAGGAGUAAUCAGUACUUCAAGCUCACCACAUCACCGUCUCUAUUAGAUUCAAGCAACAUUCCACCAUGAUCUAUAUUGCAGAAACCAUUAAUCCAUUCCCAACGGAGGUCUUCAUGUUCCGCGAUUAGGAUGAGAUGGUGGUACUAGCGAACACAGACACAUACUUACCAGGGACCCGACUGUUUUUGUAAGUGUGUUGACAGG